rnacentral:rRNA from 1 species
CGUCUAUAUACGUAUAGCAUAUCAAUAAGCGGAGGAAAAGAAACUAACUAGGAUUCCCUCAGUAACGGCGAGUGAAGCGGGAAGAGCUCAAAUUUGAAAUCUUCAAGGUUCUACCUUGACGAAUUGUAGUUUAAAGAAGUGUUUUCUGUUGGAGUUUUGGUAAAAGUUCUUUGGAAUAGGACAUCAUAGAGGGUGAGAAUCCCGUAUUUGACCAUUAUUUCCAACUUUGUGAUACACUUUCAAAGAGUCGGAUUGUUUGGGAAUGCAGUCUAAAAUGGGUGGUAAAUUUCAUCUAAAGCUAAAUACUGGCGAGAGACCGAUAGCGAACAAGUACCGUGAGGGAACGAUGAAAAGAACUUUGAAAAGAGAGUUAAACAGUACGUGAAAUUGUCAAAAGGGAAGCGUUUGACACCAGUAGUUGUUUUCUCGAAAAUCAAUUAAAAAUGGUGGGAUUUUGUGUUGUAUUGACUUUAUCAGCUUUCUGCACUUUUUUCCUGUCUUUUUUAAUGCACUUUUCGUUUAACAAGUCAACAUCAAUUUCUUUUGUUGUAAAAGGGUCAUUGGAAGGUGGCUUUCUUUUCGGAGAAAGUGUUUAUAGCCUUUGGCCUCUGCAAUCGGAGAGAUUGAGGUCUGCAGCGUAGAUCCUUCGGGGUUAGAUGCAUUUGUGCUAAGCUAUAGCCUUUCAUAGACAACUUGUUGACUAUGAUCAGUCAUGUAGCUUACUCGCUUAUGUCAUUUUACCUACGCUUAGGAUGUUGAUCUGUAGUGCGUGCGC